CCUACGGGAGGCAGCAGUGAGGAAUAUUGGUCAAUGGCCGGAAGGCUGAACCAGCCAUGCCGCGUGAAGGUCAGUGCCCUAUGGGCGUUAAACUUCUUUUGUGCGGGAGCAAUAAUGGUCACGUGUGGCCAGACGAGAGUACCGUACGAAUAAGCAUCGGCUAACUCCGUGCCAGCAGCCGCGGUAAUACGGGGGAUGCAAGCGUUAUCCGGAUUUAUUGGGUUUAAAGGGUGCGUAGGCUGUGAGGUAAGUCAGCGGUGAAAUGCCCCCGGUCAACGGGGUGAAGUGCCAUUGAUACUGGCUUGCUGGAAAGCGGAUGCCGUAGGAGGAAUGUGUGGUGUAGCGGUGAAAUGCAUAGAUAUCACACAGAACACCGAUUGCGAAGGCAGCUCACGGAUCCGCGAUUGACGCUGAUGCACGAAAGCGUGGGUAUCAAACAGGAUUAGAUACCCCAGUAGUC
rnacentral:rRNA from 1 species